GAGCUUCUGAAUCUCAGCCUGUAGAUGUCACAUGCAAAAGAAAAAAAAAAGGAUUAAGGACUGACUAUUACGGAUAUACCAAAAGAUUUACACAGUAUAGUUCUAAACUAGCAAAACAUUUGUGGAUAAGGAUGUAAGUGUGAAUUUUAAUGAAGAGGAUGAACAAAAUGAAGAGGAGAGAUAAAAAUUCCAGAAAAGGGGACUAAGGAUAUGGCAUACUCAUUUAGUAGAUAAAAUACCAGGGAGAAUAACAUAAACAACUGUGAAGUCCACUACUUAAUACCAAGCGAAAAAAAAUUACCAAGCACCCAGAACAUGCCAUCAUAAGGUAACAUUCUAACAGAUUUUCACAUUUCCCACAAGAUAUCCUUAUUACAAAAAGACAUUGCAAGGACUCACUUUUUCUCUAUCAUUUAGCUUUU
rnacentral:misc_RNA from 1 species